UCUCUCCGAUUUUCUCUGCUUCCAAACAACGUUUGUUCUCUUUCGUUACUAAUAAUCUCUUUAUUGUUCCCUGUUUUGGCUAUUUCUAAAGGAGCGGUGGAGAUCCGUUUAUCUUUUUAGCUUUCUGGAUAAGUGGUGAGGGCCAUGUGAGUUGUUUGAACUGAAAUAGUGUUGUCGACGGUCUUCGACAGAGAUAAGCUUAUUGGUUCUAUCAGUGUGCACAAGAACAUCGGGAUUUUGGAUUUCGAAGCAUCAAAUUUAUUUUACCAUGGUGGUUUUGGCCGA